GUUCAAAAUACAGUCUCUCUGGUAUGAAUAACAUGGAAGAACACCAUGCUUGCUUCAGAACAGAGAAUCUGUAUUAAUCAACGAAACCUUAAAAUUGGAGACUCAACUGAAUUGCCACCCAGUACCUUAACAUGUGACAAUUUCAAAUCCUAUGAUGAGGUUCCAAGGGGUUGUAAAAUGGAAGAAAACAAAGAACAUGCUAAGAAAAAAAUUAAGCAAUGCAGUCCCUGUCAGGGAUAUAAAGCCAGAAUUAUGUAAAACAAAAAAAAAAUUAAAAAAUAAACACAAG